AGUUCCUCAGGUGCUUCUGAUGAUUACCAGGGUGGAGAACUACUUCUCUACCAGGUAGGAAGUGCUCCCUCAUCACCAUUUUCUCACUGCAGCCAGAAGUUCAGGAAGGAACAAAGGCAACGUGGAAUGAAGGAGGGGGAGUGGUCUGCAACAUAGAAGGGAAACAAGGAGAAGGUGUCGGAGAGACCAAGGAGUUCUGCCAUGGGAAAGCUGCUCUGGGACCAUGACUCUGGCUGAGCAACUGACGUCCAACCCAUGUUUCAACAGUCUUCUGCAACUGCCUCAGAGCAGAGUGUGUGGAUGGCAAGAAUCACACAAGAUGAAGUUGCAAGUUGUUAAGAAAAAGUUUUACGUAUGUUUCCUAAAACUGUUUCUUGUUCUCUGAAUACAGAGUUCGUAUGUGAUGACCUCUACCUUUAUAUCUAUGAAAAUGUAUAAUGAUAUUCAAAAGGAAACGUAUUUUACAGCUUCAUCAUAUGUUGUAACCCUUGCUCUGAUCCAAUACAGAGUUUUUCCAAUUGCACAAAAGAAAUGAAAAUUAAAACGUGCUUCGUAAAAUGUUAAGUGCAAUAUAAAUAUUUAAUUAUGGCUAUUUUAAAUAUUUUAAAUACUGCUGUGCUGUGGGGUAUCAUAGAGGUUAUUCCAAGGCUCUGGUCCUGAAUGGAGGAGGAGUUU
rnacentral:lncRNA from 1 species